AUUGAACGCUGGCGGCAUGCCUUACACAUGCAAGUCGAACGGCAGCACGGGAGCAAUCCUGGUGGCGAGUGGCGAACGGGUGAGUAAUAUAUCGGAACGUGCCCAGUCAUGGGGGAUAACGCAGCGAAAGCUGUGCUAAUACCGCAUACGAUCUAAGGAUGAAAGCGGGGGAUCGCAAGACCUCGCGCGAUUGGAGCGGACGUUAUCGGAUUAGCUAGUUGGUGGGGUAAAGGCCCACCAAGGCGACGAUCUGUAGCUGGUCUGAGAGGACGACCAGCCACACUGGAACUGAGACACGGUCCAGACUCCUACGGGAGGCAGCAGUGGGGAAUUUUGGACAAUGGGCGCAAGCCUGAUCCAGCAAUGCCGCGUGCAGGAUGAAGGCCUUCGGGUUGUAAACUGCUUUUGUACGGAACGAAACGGCCCUUUCUAAUACAGGGGGCUAAUGACGGUACCGUAAGAAUAAGCACCGGCUAACUACGUGCCAGCCGCCGCCGUAACAC
rnacentral:rRNA from 1 species